GCCCCUACAGCUAAGCUUCUCCUAUAUGCAUAUUCUUGCUAUCUGUAAAGUUCUUUUAUCUAUUCUCUAGCCUUGUUAUAUUGUACUCUAUUUACACUUUCAAUUGUGCUAUAUUUACAAUCUUGCUUCAACUGUUUUAUCAUCUCCUGUGGAUGAGGAACCCUUAGUUGCCAUAACGCUUCAUUCCUAGCCUUCCAGAUUCCAUAGACAAGUGCUGCUAGUACAGCCAUAAUAAAGGAUCUAUUCACUCUUCCCUUCACAUUUCUCAUGAUUCUUCUCCAUAAGCCUAGCAUCUCUGUGUUUCUCACACUUAUUUUCAACCACUAGAGGAUUUCAGUUAGGUAUAUCUUAGAGAAUUGGCACUCAAACAUUAGGUGCUCUACUGAUUCAGGUAAGCUCUCGCAUAAAAGGCAUGUAAUAUCUUGGCAUAUUCCCAUUAUACUCAGCCUCUCUCUUGUCUGUAGUUUCUUGUGAACAACCAACCAGCGGAUGAGUCUAUGUUUGGGUAUAUUCAUAUUGUUCUACACCCAUCUACUCUUAGACCAUCUUGGUGCAUUCCUUUUAAGCCAGCUAUAUCCCCCACCAAUUGGUGUAUUUAGCAGUGCAAGUUAGCCAUCCAUUCUGGAUAUACCCAGUUUCCAACUUAUCUCUCAUUAUGUAGAUUUUUUUCCAGUACCAACAUAAGUCCUGAGGCUGUCUAUAUUCCCACCAAUCCCUCCCCUUCAGGUACACAUGAUCAACACAUUUUACCCACAAGUUGUCUUCUUUCUUUGCUAUAUCCUAUACAUAUUUUUCAAUUGUAGUUUCAUUCCAUUUUACAUAGUCUCUGAUCCCCAAUCCUCCUUUCUUUUUAUGUCUAGUAACCACAUCCCAUGCCACUAGAGGUGUUCUAUUUGUUUCUACUUUACCAUUCCAAAGGAAGUUCCAACAGAUUGCUGCAAUUCUCUUCAUCACCAGUUUUGGAAGAAUGAAGAUCGAUGCCCAGUAUAUGUGUACAUGCAUGAGUACUGAGUUAAUAAGUUGCACCCUGCCUGCAUAAGACAAAUUUCUUGUCCCCAUCCUCUAAUUCUACUAGUUAUGUUUUGUGCCAAUAAAUCACAAUCUGUUGCUGAUAUCUUUCUUGCUAAUAUUGUGACUCCUAAGUAUCUGAAUGGAAGUGCCCCUUCUUGUAUCCUGUUAAUUCACAUAAGUCCUCUAAGCAUGACUCCUCCAUAUUAGCAUUGAAAAUAUUUGACUUAUCAACAUUAGUGUAUAGCCCUGAUGAGUGAGAGAAACUUUUCAGGCCCCUAAGCAUCAAUAUGACUGAAUGGAAGUCUCCUAUGCUAAAUAAUAGCACAUCAUCAACAAAACAUAAGUGGUUGAGAUGCAGGCUUUUAUAUUUUGUAUGAUAGUGGAAUCCUUCCUGAUUAGCUACAACCUUCAUAAUCCUAGUGAAGUACUCCAUGCAUAUUAUAAACAAUAAUGGAGAUAUGGGAUCCCUUUGUCUCAAUCCUCUUUUGCCUAUGAUUUUCCCAUACAUUCCUCCAUUUAGAGCCAGUGUAUAUUGUGUUGAAGUGAUGCAAACCAUUAUCUAUCUUAUAAAUCUUUCAAGAAAAUUAAGAGCAUAUAGCAUUUCUUGAACAAACUCCCACUCAACAGUGUCAUAAUCCUUCAUGAUAUCUACUUUAAUGAGGCAACUUUUUGUAGAAUUCUUUCUAUUGUACAAUCUCACUAAGUCUUGGCAUAUAAGUAUAUUCUGCACAAUGGUUCUAUUUGCCACAAAUGCACCCUGGUUAUGUGAUAUGACUGUAGGAAGUACUUCCUUGAGUCUGUUGCAUAGCAUCUUAGAAAUUAUCUUAUAGACUGUGUUGCAGUAGGCUAUUGGUCUGUAUUCACUUACUGACUCUGCAUGGUUGCUUUUAGGUAUGAGAGUAAUGGUUGUGUUGUUCAUUAUCUUCAACAAUUUACCAUUGUCAAAAAAUUCCAACACUGCAUCACAUAUAUCUUUCCCUACUAUCUCCCAGUUGUCUUUAAAAAAUUGACUUACAUAUUCAUUAGGACCUGGGGAUUUAUCUCCUAGUAUUGCCCAUAAGGCUUAUUUAACCUCUUUUUAUGUGAAGUCAUCCUCCAGCAUGCUUCUUUAUGCCACUGAUACUAUUGCUCCUUUCCUGACCAAAUUGCUAUUGACAUGAACUCUUUGUGUAGCUUUUGUUCCCAGCAACUCUUUGUAAUAAUCCAGAAAAGCUAUUGCAAUCUCUUCUAUUUCUGUUUUUGUUUCUCCCUUGUCAUUUCUAAUAUUAAACACUCUUGUUGCAUUCCUUCUGCUCUUCAUGUAAUUGUGGAGGUAUUUUGUAUUUUGGUCACCUCCCUGAAGCCAUUGUGCUUUGCUUUUUUGUUGUAAAUAUAAUUCCCUUGCCUUGUUCCACCUCUUGCACUCAUGAAUUAGCUUGCGUUCCUCCUCUAACAGUGCCAUGUUCUGUGGAUCCUGCUGUAUAUUGCUUUGACAUGCCAUCAGAUGUCUCAUUGCUUCUUCUGCUCUCAUUUCAACAUUGCUAAAUCUUGUUCUAUUUAACUCUUGCAAGGCUUUAAGGCUUUUUUCAAGUUAUUCAACUUGCCAACUAACUGGAACAUCUUUGUACCUGGACAAUGGUCAUACAACCCCUCAUUCAUAAAAUGAACCUCUGAUGCCGGCAGUUGAGUAAGCCAGUCUAUAUUGGUCAACACUAUGUCAAUCCUACUAUACACUCUAUCGGUCCCUUGUUGUUUGCUAUUCCAUGUAUAGAAGGCUCCCGAUGAUUUUAAUUCCUGCAAUUCACAUUGGUCUAUACAUUGUCUGAAUUCCCUCAUUUCUCUCACUAUGGCUGCCCUUCCUAUUCUCUCAUUAGAAUUGAGAAUACAGUUAAAAUCU